GUGCUCGCUUCAGCAGCACUUAUACUAAAAUUGGAACAAUACAGAGAAGACUAACAUGGCCCCUGUGCAAGGAUGACACACAAAUUCGUGACUCAUUCCAUAUUUUU